UGUCCCAAAUAUCUUCCUGGAGGCUUCAGUAAUGAUCCUGGAGCAGCAGAUCCAGGCCUCCAUCUCAGGUGAAGUUCUGACUGCAGGUAAACUGGUUCUACUGGUUCUCCUUUUCUGCCUCCAUCUCAGUCUGUUUUCUUCAGACCUUCGUCUGUUCUCUGCUUUCCCUAAAGACACCCUGCAGGUGUGUGAGCUGAUGUGAAGUGAGCAGCAUGGAUCAGUGUGAGGACAGAGAGGAAAGAGUCCCUUCCUCUAAAACCACUCUGUGUGGAGAACAUGAGGACCAGAGCAAAGCUCAGAGGUCAGAUCACCAUCUCUAACUGUCCAGGACUCUUCUCCAUGUCAGAGCUCAGCAUGAACAUCAACAAACCAUCUUUAU